UGGGGAAUUUUGGACAAUGGGCGAAAGCCUGAUCCAGCAAUGCCGCGUGUGUGAAGAAGGCCUUCGGGUUGUAAAGCACUUUUGUCCGGAAAGAAAUCCUUGGCUCUAAUACAGUCGGGGGGAUGACGGUACCGGAAGAAUAAGCACCGGCUAACUACGUGCCAGCAGCCGCGGUAAUACGUAGGGUGCAAGCGUUAAUCGGAAUUACUGGGCGUAAAGCGUGCGCAGGCGGUUUGCUAAGACCGAUGUGAAAUCCCCGGGCUCAACCUGGGAAACUGCAUUGGUGACUGGCAGGCUAGAGUAUGGCAGAGGGGGGUAGAAUUCCACGUGUAGCAGUGAAAUGCGUAGAGAUGUGGAGGAAUACCGAUGGCGAAGGCAGCCCCCUGGGCCAAUACUGACGCUCAUGCACGAAAGCGUGGGGAGCAAACA
rnacentral:rRNA from 1 species